CUACUCGGGUUUCUAAUCCUGUUUGCUCCCCACGCUUUCGCGUCUCAGCGUCAGUACCGUCCCAGCGAGCUGCCUUCGCCAUUGGUGUUCCUCCUGAUAUCUGCGCAUUUCACCGCUACACCAGGAAUUCCACUCGCCUCUUCCGGACUCUAGCCCGGCAGUAUCGGUCGGCAUUCAAGGGUUGAGCCCCUGACUUUCACAACCGACUGACCGGGCCGCCUACACGCUCUUUACGCCCAAUGAUUCCGGACAACGCUUGCCCCCUAUGUAUUACCGCGGCUGCUGGCAC
rnacentral:rRNA from 1 species